GUGGUUUUCGUUAGAACUAUUAUUUAAUUGCAAAAUAGAGUAAAUACUGACAGUACUGUUUAAAAUGUACGCUUUGUUUUUUGACCUGUUGUAUAAUAAUGUCACGUUUGCAGACAUGUGUAUUUGGAAACAAUUGCGUUCUUGCUCCUUAUCAACAUACAAGAACUCACACAAAGAGGUUCUGAUUGACUUCAGAGAUUCCAGUCACACAAGAGUGGCAGGUAAAAAUAGCUCCAUGCUUCAGGAACAGAGCUGCCAAAGAGCUGUGACAGUGGCAGGAACUGAACUGUGCCAUGCAG